rnacentral:lncRNA from 1 species
GAGCACGCUACCAUAGUCUCUUGAGACUGAAGGAUGCCUAUCUAUCCAAAAGCCUCAGUGCCUUCUAAGAAGCACACCGCUUUCUCUAAAAGGUGUCACACCACACCCUAUAGUGUGUGUACUCCUUGAAGAGACGGCUGUGCGAAGGAUGGAAGAGGCCAAGUCCUCCCAGAAAGUUGUAAUUGCCCCUGUCAAUCUGUCUUACAUAACCUCCCCUGGGGCUUGGUUCAUACAAUGCUAAUCCAGGUAUGUACAGAAAAAGCCCUGCACGGCAGUCAGUUCAAGCUAAAUCGAUGUGGGUGAUCACCCUUGGAGACACAGCGCACUGCACAAAUCUCUUGAGGGAGACGUGACUCCUAAAAGGAAAUGUUCUGAACAUCAAGCCUUACUACUUCCCUUGCUGCUAAAAGAGAAAGGCUGCCAAAGCACGUACACAGAUUUUGCUGUUGGGGAAGGACCCUACAUGCUUUGUGCGUAGGAUGUCCUGUUCCAAGCUUCUCCCUGCAAUUGGUUAGGUUGGCUAAAUGCUACAGGCAAGACACUCUGACUG